GACGAACGCUGGCGGCGUGCUUAACACAUGCAAGUCGAACGGAAAGGCCCUGCUUUUGUGGGGUGCUCGAGUGGCGAACGGGUGAGUAACACGUGAGUAACCUGCCCUUGACUUUGGGAUAACUUCAGGAAACUGGGGCUAAUACCGGAUAGGAGCUCCUGCUGCAUGGUGGGGGUUGGAAAGUUUCGGCGGUUGGGGAUGGACUCGCGGCUUAUCAGCUUGUUGGUGGGGUAGUGGCUUACCAAGGCUUUGACGGGUAGCCGGCCUGAGAGGGUGACCGGCCACAUUGGGACUGCGAUACGGCCCAGCCUCCUACGGGGGGCAGCAGUGGGGAAUAUUGCACAAUGGGCGGAAGCCUGAUGCAGCAACGCCGCGUGCGGGAUGACGGCCUUCGGGUUGUAAACCGCUUUCGCCUGUGACGAAGCGUGAGUGACGGUAAUGGGUAAAGAAGCACCGGCUAACUACGUG
rnacentral:rRNA from 1 species